rnacentral:rRNA from 1 species
GAAGAACCUUACCAACCCUUGACAUGGUGGUCGCGGAUUGCAGAGAUGCUUUCCUUCAGUUUGGGUGGACCACACACAGGUGUUGCAUGGCUGUCGUCAGCUCGUGUCGUGAGAUGUUGGGUUAAGUCCCGCAACGAGCGCAACCCUCAUUCUUAUUUGCCAGCGGGUAAUGCCGGGAACUAUAAGAAAACUGCCGGUGAUAAGCCGGAGGAAGGUGGGGACGACGACAAGUCAUCAUGGCCCUUACGGGUUGGGCUACACGCGUGCUACAAUGGUGUUUACAGAGGGAGGCAAGACGGCGACGUGGAGCAAAUCCCUAAAAAACAUCUCAGUUCGGAUUGUUCUCUGCAACUCGAGAGCAUGAAGUUGGAAUCGCUAGUA